GUGCUUGUUUCUACAGCACAAACACUAAAAUUAGGACGAUACAGGAAGAUGAGCAUGGCCCCUGCUCAAGGAUGACAUGCAAAUUCAUAUACUGUUCCCUAAUUUU